rnacentral:rRNA from 1 species
AAGCUUGCUUCCUAUGAAAUCGAGUGGCAAACGGGUGAGUAACGCGUAAACAACCUGCCCUUCGGAUGGGGAUAACAGCCGGAAACGGCUGCUAAUACCGAAUACGAUCUUUUCGUCGCAUGACGGAAAGAAGAAGGGAUGGCCUCUAUACAAAGCUAUCGCCGAAGGAGGGGUUUGCGUCUGAUUAGCUGGUUGGAGGGGUAACGGCCCAACAAGGCGAUGAUCAGUAGCCGGUCUGAGAGGAUGAACGGCCACAUUGGGACUGAGACACGGCCCAGACUCCUACGGGAGGCAGCAGUGGGGAAUCUUCCGCAAUGGACGAAAGUCUGACGGAGCAACGCCGCGUGAGUGAAGAAGGUCUUCGGAUUGUAAAGCUCUGUUAUACGGGACGAAAAAGACGGAUGCCAACAGUAUCCGUCCGUGACGGUACCGUAAGAGAAAGCCACGGCUAACUACGUGCCAGCAGCCGCGGUAAUACGUAGGUGGCAAGCGUUGUCCGGAAUUAUUGGGCGUAAAGGGCGCGCAGGCGGUUCGGUAAGUCUGUCUUAAAAGUGCGGGGCUUAACCCCGUGAGGGGACGGAAACUGUCGAACUUGAGUGUCGGAGAGGAAAGCGGAAUUCCUAGUGUAGCGGUGAAAUGCGUAGAUAUNNNGAGGAACACCGGUGGCGAAAGCGGCUUUC